rnacentral:piRNA from 1 species
UCCACUGUUGCCAGGGAGCCUCUUAGAGC